rnacentral:rRNA from 1 species
CCUACGGGAGGCAGCAGUGGGGAAUAUUGCACAAUGGGGGAAACCCUGAUGCAGCGACGCCGCGUGAGUGAAGAAGUAAUUCGUUAUGUAAAGCUCUAUCAGCAGGGAAGAAAAUGACGGUACCUUAGUAAGAAGCCCCGGCUAACUACGUGCCAGCAGCCGCGGUAAUACGUAGGGGGCAAGCGUUAUCCGGAUUUACUGGGUGUAAAGGGAGCGUAGACGGCAGUGCAAGUCUGGAGUGAAAGGCUGGGGCUCAACCCCCGGACUGCUCUGGAAACUGUACGGCUGGAGUGCAGGAGAGGUAAGCGGAAUUCGUAGUGUAGCGGUGAAAUGCGUAGAUAUCAGGAGGAACACCAGUGGCGAAGGCGGCUUACUAGACUGCAACUGACGUUGAGGCUCGAAAGCGUGGGGAGCAAACAGGAUUAGAUACCCCGGUAGUC